GCAUGAAGCCGGAAAAGGGAGUCGAGUACGGUGAGAUCAUUUGGUGAUGGUUUGGACCUAUUUGGUGAUAUUUCUAUGAAAAAUCACAAGCAACGCUCUUUGGAAAGAUCCAAAAUUCUGCCUGAAAUCAUGCCAUAAUGGCCAUAAUGGCACAGUUGUCAUCAAGUAUGUUUCAUUUGGAGAUUUGUUUGGCCAGUUGAUGACUUCUAUAUACGUUCACUGCGAUUGAUCACACUUGUCUUGGGCGGGAUCAAGACAGUAAAUAACGUCAGAAUAUGCGUCUUUCUGGAGGUUCGGAGCAGUUAUGUGAACUAUAAGAGCAACUCUCCCAGGAGAGUCCUGAAUGCACUUUGAGCUCCACCUCCACGGAGCUCCUACUACGCCGCUACAGUUUGCACGCUCUGCUGCACCUUAGAAUGCAAAGUCCACCGGACCAGACGACCCGCUCAGCUCAAACCUGCAGGGCAAACGCGGUAGUUGGGUCGGAUUACGGCUGAAUCGUGUUUUCACCACAUGGAAGAAGCUCCAGAGUGGGACUACAAAGUGCAUUUGUGAAAACAUCCUUCUGUAUACCUUCAGCAGACUGAGUAGAAGAAUCUCUCUGCUAUCUGGCACUGGUGAAGUCAGCGUCCCAACUCGAUUUAGAUGAAAAUCUUUGGGGAACCUCGGCGCUCAUAAAGUCUGCCCAAGGCUGCCAGACAUCACGGGUGAUUCAUGAAUCACGAUAACAUCAUCAAAGAAAGUUGAGCGGUUCCUGCGGGCGUAGCUACUGUAGCGGUAGAGCCAGGUCCUCCCUGAGGAUCUGAGUAACAGGUGGCAGACGGCCACGCUGCACACCUCCUCGGGCAUCUGUUGCUGAGGGGAUUUCCUAAUCCCUCUUUAGCUUUGAGCCGGGGGCUGUAUUUUUCUUUGGGAAAUGCAUCUCCUUGACUCUGCAAUCUCCACUUUCUAUGAUUCACCGUGCAGAUAUCCACGCAAGUAGGUCUACACACACACAGACACACACAGACAUGACAAAUUCUGGGCUACCACCACGAUGAGCUCAUUGAAAAACAGCUGUCCUUCGCUCACAAAGGUGGAAUGAGGGGGGAAAGCCUCCCGUGUCCCCUGAUCUGACGUCCGCACACUGUCCGCAUCUCCGUCUCUCACUCACUUUUUGAGCUGAAUGGGCCAUCGACCUUCCCCUCUGUCGUCUGUCGUUUGUGUGUCUGCGUGCGUGCACGUGUGUGUGUCACUUCAAACACUUUGCUGCUCCCUUCC
ensembl:lncRNA